CCCCCCCCCCCCAACAAAAAAAAGAAAGUGUUGCCGGAAAUGCAGUAGGCAAAAAGUUUUCAAAUAUGACUCCAUAACAGGAAGAAGGAUAAAUGAGGGGCAAGCAGAAGUAAGGGUGAAAUGGUUACCUUGCUCUGCAUGUGGAAAAAUCUGGGAGGAGACAUGGGAGCCGGCCUGCCAGUUCUCACCAGGUGUCAAGCAUGUGUGACGUCACCCAUUCGUCUACAAUUCAAUAUGAGUUGAAUACCUGCUAUGAGUUGUCGAGAUCGCUGUUACGGCACAGCCAUCCUGUUUGCAGAUGUGACGAUUUUAGAUGAGAAGGAGGAGCCACGUUACACACUUUCAAUGGUUUCCACCCUAACAUGCUGUCAUGCUGUUUUUUUCUUUAUUACUGAUUCUUGUUAAAAGCUAUGUUCAA